UACGAAGGGGGCUAGCGUUGCUCGGAAUCAUUGGGCGUAAAGCGCACGUAGGCGGCUCAGCAAGUCGGGUGUGAAAGCCCUCGGCUCAACCGAGGAAGUGCAUUCGAAACUACUGAGCUUGAAUACUGGAGAGGAUCGCGGAAUUCCCGGUGUAGAGGUGAAAUUCGUAGAUAUCGGGAGGAACACCAGUGGCGAAGGCGGCGAUCUGGACAGAUAUUGACGCUGAGGUGCGAAAGCGUGGGGAGCAAACAGG
rnacentral:rRNA from 1 species